UUACUUUUACAUUAGUUGCUUGUCACAAGGAUAAGAGUGUCUCUACUGUUGCCACGGCAACCCCAAAUCACUCACCUCAGUGCAGUCGUCUGUAAUAACAAUAAUAAUACUCGUAAUGAUAAAAAUAAUGGUGGACUAGCCCAGAUAUCUCAGAUUGUGUUGUGUGGAAGUUGCAUACCUGCCAACUACUCCGGUUUUCCCGUAAUUAGUACGGUUUUCAUCAACCUAUUCCGGGUUACGGUUGCAGUGAUAAAAAAUACGUUUUUUCAUUAAUUAAAAAAAAUAUUUAAAAAAAAGUUUUAUUCACGAAAUCGCGUAACAACAAUGACAAUCGACACUGCUUCCCGUAACUUCCUAUCGAGCCAUUCCGAAUGCCAUGUGUAACACGGGUGGGAAAUAAGCCAUAUUUCCUCUCAGGACAUAUCCUCAUAUUACCUGCGCCGUUUCCACGUUUAAUCUCGCGAGUUUAACACACGCGCUCACGUGACCCGCUGCAGCCAAUCACGCUCUAUAAAAUCCAGCAUUCCGAAAUGGCUGUCAGGUGCGGUGGCUAAGCCUGGGGACAUAUGAAGCCGGUGCCGAACAUCAGGGACGUGUUGCGACGAGAGAGUGUGUCGAUGAUAAGAUAUUAAGCCGAGUUGGCCAGGUCCCUAAGUCUUGGAUGGCGAGCUGUAGAUAGGCCUCGAGCCUG